GCAAAGGUGUCCGAGCGGUUGAAGGAGCACGCCUGGAAUGCGUGUUAGAUGAAAGUCUACGCAGGUUCGAAUCCUGUCCUUUGCGCCA
rnacentral:tRNA from 1 species